rnacentral:rRNA from 1 species
AAUGAAUUGACGGGGGCCCGCACAAGCGGUGGAGCAUGUGGUUUAAUUCGAUGCAACGCGAAGAACCUUACCUACUCUUGACAUCCAGAGAACUUUCCAGAGAUGGAUUGGUGCCUUCGGGAACUCUGAGACAGGUGCUGCAUGGCUGUCGUCAGCUCGUGUUGUGAAAUGUUGGGUUAAGUCCCGCAACGAGCGCAACCCUUAUCCUUUGUUGCCAGCGAUUCGGUCGGGAACUCAAAGGAGACUGCCAGUGAUAAACUGGAGGAAGGUGGGGAUGACGUCAAGUCAUCAUGGCCCUUACGAGUAGGGCUACACACGUGCUACAAUGGCGCAUACAAAGAGAAGCGACCUCGCGAGAGCAAGCGGACCUCAUAAAGUGCGUCGUAGUCCGGAUUGGAGUCUGCAACUCGACUCCAUGAAGUCGGAAUCGCUAGUAAUCGUGGAUCAGAAUGCCACGGUGAAUACGUUCCCGGGCCUUGUACACACCGCCCGUCACACCAUGGGAGUGGGUUGCAAAAGAAGUAGGUAGCUUAACCUUCGGGAGGGCGCUUACCACUUUGUGAUUCAUGACUGGGGUGAAGUCGUAACAAGGUAACCGUAGGGGAACCUGCGGUUGGAUCACCUCCUUA